rnacentral:rRNA from 1 species
UACGUAGGGUGCGAGCGUUAAUCGGAAUUACUGGGCGUAAAGCGUGCGCAGGCGGUUUUGUAAGCCAGAUGUGAAAGCCCCGGGCUUAACCUGGGAAUGGCAUUUGGGACUGCAAGGCUUGAGUGCGGCAGAGGAGACUGGAAUUCCUGGUGUAGCAGUGAAAUGCGUAGAUAUCGAGAGGAACACCUGCGGCGAAGGCGGGUUGCUGGGCUGACACUGACGCUGAAGCGCGAAAGCUAGGGGAGCGAACGGG